GCACUGACCAGCACCCGCCAGAGACGCCAUGAUGCUCGUCUCAGGAGCCGGCAUUCAUUGCACAGCGGUGCUGCUACAGGAAGUCGCUCAAGUUUGUUCCAAACACCAGACUCCCGCAGACGGCCGCCAUGAUGCGGUACGGAAAUCCUAGCUUGUCCACCCACUGGUGUGACCAAAGAUUGAACAACAGCUUCUGGUUCCUGCCUAGUGUCUGCCUGCCUAGAGAACUGGUCUGCAGCUGCUGAGUCUUAUUUGGUGAUUGCUACAGGACUGAACUACUGAGAAAGAUCAAGCUCACCCACAAAGAAAUACUGCUGAACAGGCUCACUCUCCCCGUACCCUAAUAACUUUUCUCUUCCACUACUUCUGCUGGAUGGUGGGCUAAAGGAGAGGGUGAACUCUUAUUAAAGUAGGUUGCAAAAAAUUA